CCUACGGGAGGCAGCAGUGAGGAAUAUUGGUCAAUGGACGCAAGUCUGAACCAGCCAUGCCGCGUGCAGGAAGACGGCUCUAUGUGUUGUAAACUGCUUUUGUACGAGGGUAAACGCAGAUACGCGUAUCUGUCUGAAAGUAUCGUACGAAUACGGAUCGGCUAACUCCGUGCAAGCAGCCGCGGUAAUACGGAGGAUUCAAGCGUUAUCCGGAUUUAUUGGGUUUAAAGGGUGCGUAGGCGGUCGGAUAAGUUAGAGGUGAAAUCCCGAGGCUCAACUUCGGAAUUGCCGCUGAUACUGUUCGGCUAGAGAGUAGUUGCGGUAGGCGGAAUGUAUGGUGUAGCGGUGACAUGCUUAGAGAUCAUACAGAACACCGAUUGCGAAGGCAGCUUACCAAGCUACUUCUGACGUUGAGGCACGAAAGCGUGGGGAGCAAACAGGAUUAGAUACCCUAGUAGUC
rnacentral:rRNA from 1 species